rnacentral:rRNA from 1 species
UAGGGAAUCUUCCGCAAUGGGCGAAAGCCUGACGGAGCAACGCCGCGUGAGUGAUGAAGGUCUUCGGAUCGUAAAACUCUGUUAUUAGGGAAGAACAAAUGUGUAAGUAACUAUGCACGUCUUGACGGUACCUAAUCAGAAAGCCACGGCUAACUACGUGCCAGCAGCCGCGGUAAUACGUAGGUGGCAAGCGUUAUCCGGAAUUAUUGGGCGUAAAGCGCGCGUAGGCGGUUUUUUAAGUCUGAUGUGAAAGCCCACGGCUCAACCGUGGAGGGUCAUUGGAAACUGGAAAACUUGAGUGCAGAAGAGGAAAGUGGGAUUCCAUGUGGAACGGUGAAAUGCGGAAGGAUAUGGAGGAACACCAGUGGCGAAGGCGACUUUCUGGUCUGUAACUGACGCUGAUGUGCGAAAGCGUGGGGAUCAAACAGG